AAUAGGAAGGAUUGGCGAGGAUAGCUAAAACAGGUUGAUCUCCACCGUUCAUAUAUCUCAAUCUAAAGGAUAUAAUUAUUCCAUUUUUUAUCUCUUUCUUCUCCUUGCCUCUCUCUCACGACCUUUCCAAUUUUUUUUUCUUCUCCUCUCAGUUCCAAGCUUUUCUACUGAUUCAAAGUGUUAAGCAUAGAUCUCCUCUUGUCUCGAGACUCACUUUCCUUCUUUUGAUCUGGGGUUUUUUCGAUUAGGGUUCGAUCAGUCCUCACUAUCUUCUUCUGUUAUAUUGUUUCGAUUUGGUAGACUGUCUGUUUCUGUAUCAAUGGGUCUCGAUUAGGGUUUCAGAGAUUACCCACAGAACCCACAGCAGAUCCAACAUUCCAUUUAUCAAAGGAUUGGCCGUGGCUCUAAGUGACUCGGAAUCCCCAUAGAUCAGCGAAAAUGGCACUGCGAUAACUGCAGGUGGUGGUGUGACGACCGAGAGAGCAAGACGACAGAGGAGAUGGAGUUGGUAUAGAGGCGAGGUAAGAGAGACAGAUAAGAAGUUUCGAUGGUGGUGGAAGAGCACAGAUUGAUGGAGUUGGUUGACGGCGGCGAAGAGUGGUGUAGAGAUAGGGUUAAUUUUUUUUAAGGUUAAACCGGUUUAGUUUUUUAGAUUUCUAAACUAGGUUUACGUGUAAACCUUAGGUUAAUUAUGGUUUGGUUUAAUGUUUGUAAUUAGUUUUUUGUUUAAUGUGUUCUUUAAUUAUUUGUAUACUGAUUUUAAUCAAUAAAUAAAAUAAAAUUUUUAUUUACGAA